rnacentral:rRNA from 1 species
GAUGAACGCUGGCGGCGUGCCUAAUACAUGCAAGUCGAGCGAACAGAUAAGGAGCUUGCUCCUUUGAAGUUAGCGGCGGACGGGUGAGUAACACGUGGGUAACCCACCUAUAAGACUGGGAUAACUUCGGGAAACCGGAGCUAAUACCGGAUAACAUUUAGAACCGCAUGGUUCUAAAGUGAAAGAUGGUUUUGCUAUCACUUAUAGAUGGACCCGCGCCGUAUUAGCUAGUUGGUAAGGUAACGGCUUACCAAGGCGACGAUACGUAGCCGACCUGAGAGGGUGAUCGGCCACACUGGAACUGAGACACGGUCCAGACUCCUACGGGAGGCAGCAGUAGGGAAUCUUCCGCAAUGGGCGAAAGCCUGACGGAGCAACGCCGCGUGAGUGAUGAAGGGUUUCGGCUCGUAAAACUCUGUUAUUAGGGAAGAACAGAUGUGUAAGUAACUGUGCACAUCUUGACGGUACCUAAUCAGAAAGCCACGGCUAACUACGUGCCAGCAGCCGCGGUAAUACGUAGGUGGCGAGCGUUAUCCGGAAUUAUUGGGCGUAAAGCGCGCGUAGCGGUUUCUUAAGUCUGAUGUGAAAGCCCACGGCUCAACCGUGGAGGGUCAUUGGAAACUGGGAAACUUGAGUGCAGAAGAGGAAAGUGGAAUUCCAUGUGUAGCGGUGAAAUGCGCAGAGAUAUGGAGGAACACCAGUGGCGAAGGCGACUUUCUGGUCUGUAACUGACGCUGAUGUGCGAAAGCGUGGGGAUCAAACAGGAUUAGAUACCCUGGUAGUCCACGCCGUAAACGAUGAGUGCUAAGUGUUAGGGGGUUUCCGCCCCUUAGUGCUGCAGCUAACGCACUAAGCACUCCGCCUGGGGAGUACGACCGCAAGGUUGAAACUCAAAGGAAUUGACGGGGACCCGCACAAGCGGUGGAGCAUGUGGUUUAAUUCGAAGCAACGCGAAGAACCUUACCAAAUCUUGACAUCCUUUGAAAACUCUAGAGAUAGAGCCUUCCCCUUCGGGGGACAAAGUGACAGGUGGUGCAUGGUUGUCGUCAGCUCGUGUCGUGAGAUGUUGGGUUAAGUCCCGCAACGAGCGCAACCCUUAAGCUUAGUUGCCAUCAUUAAGUUGGGCACUCUAGGUUGACUGCCGGUGACAAACCGGAGGAAGGUGGGGAUGACGUCAAAUCAUCAUGCCCCUUAUGAUUUGGGCUACACACGUGCUACAAUGGACCAUACAAAGGGCAGCUAAACCACGAGGUCAUGCAAAUCCCAUAAAGUUGUUCUCAGUUCGGAUUGUAGUCUGCAACUCGACUACAUGAAGCUGGAAUCGCUAGUAAUCGUAGAUCAGCAUGCUACGGUGAAUACGUUCCCGGGUCU